rnacentral:rRNA from 2 species
CGGGCGCGGCGCCGGUNUAAGUUCCUUGGAACGGGGCGUCAUAGAGGGUGAGAAUCCCGUAUGUGACCGGCGAUCAAGCCCAUGUGAAACUCCUUCGACGAGUCGAGUUGUUUGGGAAUGCAGCUCAAAAUGGGUGGUAAAUUUCAUCUAAAGCUAAAUACCGGCCAGAGACCGAUAGCGAACAAGUAGAGUGAUCGAAAGAUGAAAAGCACUUUGGAAAGAGAGUCAAAAAGUACGUGAAAUUGUUGAAAGGGAAGCGCUUGCAACCAGACCUGCCCGCGGGCGAUCAGCCGUCUUUCUAAGGCGGUGUACUCGACCGCGAUCAGGCCAGCAUCGGUUCGGGCGGUCGGAUAAAGGCCUUGGGAACGUAGCUCCUGUCGGGGAGUGUUACAGCCCUUGGUGCAAUGCGGCCCGCCUGGACCGAGGACCGCGCUUCGGCUAGGAUGCUGGCGUAAUGGUUGUAAGCGGCCCGUCUUGAAACACGGACCAAGGAGUCUAACAUCUAUGCGAGUGUUUGGGUGUCGAAACCCAUGCGCGGAAUGAAAGUGAAUGGAGGUGGGAACCCUGAAGGGGGCACCAUCGACCGAUCCAGAUGUCUUCGGAUGGAUUUGAGUACGAGCAUAGCUGUUGGGACCCGAAAGAUGGUGAACUAUGCCUGAAUAGGGUGAAGCCAGAGGAAACUCUGGUGGAGGCUCGCAGCGGUUCUGACGUGCAAAUCGAUCGUCAAAUUUGGGUAUAGGGGCGAAAGACUAAUCGAACUAUC